UACGUAGGGUGCAAGCGUUGUCCUGAAUUAUUGGGCGUAAAGAGCUCGUAGGCGGUCUGUCGCGUCUGCUGUGAAAACUCGGGGCUUAACCCCGGGCCUGCAGUGGGUACGGGCAGACUAGAGUGCGGUAGGGGAGACUGGAAUUCCUGGUGUAGCGGUGAAAUGCGCAGAUAUCAGGAGGAACACCGGUGGCGAAGGCGGGUCUCUGGGCCACUACUGACGCUGAGAAGCGAAAGCAUGGGGAGCGAACAGG
rnacentral:rRNA from 1 species